rnacentral:rRNA from 1 species
CCCCAGCGCCACGAGUGGGAGUCGCUUUUAUUGGGCCUAAAGCGUUCGUAGCCUGUUUAGCAAGUCUUUUGUGAAAUUGUUAGGCUUAACCUAACAGCGUGCAAGAGAUACUACUAUUCUAGAGACCGGGAGGAGUAUGGGGUAUUCCAUGGGGAACGGUAAAAUGUAAUAAUCCAUGGAGGACCACCAGUGGCGAAGGCGCCAUACUAGAACGGAUCUGACGGUGAGGGACGAAGGCUAGGGGAGCAAAACG